rnacentral:misc_RNA from 1 species
ACCUGCGAUCGACGGAAACUAUACGUAAAGAUGUCGGUGCAGUCUUUAGUAAGUAAGAAGAAACGAAGUUUCAUCGGGUUGCCGGCUCCACUUGGCUACGUACCAGGUCUUGGAAGAGGAGCAACAGGAUUUACAACUCGAUCUGAUAUUGGUCCAGCCAGAGAUGCAGAUGAUAUUCCUGAGGAUCGGCAUGCUCCUCCUGUAAAAAAGUCUAAGAAAGACCAGGAAGAAGAUGAAGAAGAAGAUUUGAACGAUGCCAACUUUGAUGAGUUUGCUGGCUAUGGAGGUAGCCUGUGCAGUAAAGACCCUUACGACAAAGAUGACGAGGAGGCAGAUGCCAUAUAUGAUGCUGUUGACAAACGGAUGGAUGAAAAGAGAAGGGAGAGGAGAGAGGAAAAGCUUCGGGAAGAGCUGGAGAAAUUCCGUCAAGAAAGACCCAAAAUUCAACAACAGUUCUCUGAUCUGAAGCGAGAUCUUGCUGAUGUGACUGUUGAUGAUUGGAACAACCUGCCAGAAGUGGGCGAUGCUCGGACCAAGAGGCAGAGGAACCCACGAACAGAGAAGUACACACCUGUCCCAGACAGUAUUCUGGCCCGGGCGGCAGCCUCUACAGGGAUGAAUAGUGCUCUCUCAGAGAAAGAACAGCAAUAUGGAGGCCUAGCCACACCGGCUGGCUUCUCCACUCCCAGCGGAGACAUCGACAUGAAGAAGAUUGGUCAGGCCAGGAACACACUGAUGGGCAUCAAGCUCACACAGGUAUCAGACUCUGUAGCAGGCCAGACAGUUGUUGAUCCCAAAGGCUACCUGACUGACCUGCAGUCUAUGUUACCUUCACAUGGAGGAGACAUCAACGAUGUGAAGAAAGCCCGACUGCUGCUGAAGUCAGUGAGGGAGACCAACCCCAAACACCCCCCAGCGUGGAUCGCGUCUGCUCGUCUGGAGGAGGUGACAGGCAAGGUGCAGGCAGCCAGGAACCUCAUCAUGAAGGGAUGUGAAGAGUGUCCAAAGAGUGAGGAUGCCUGGCUAGAGGCUGCAAGACUCAUGCCCGGGGACCAGGCCAAGGCCGUGGUGGCGCAGGCUGUCCGGCAUCUCCCCAGCUCAGUCAGGGUGUGGAUCAAAGCUGCAGACUUGGAGCUGGAGCUGAAGGCAAGGAAGAGAGUGUUCAGAAAGGCCCUAGAGCACAUCCCCAACUCGGUGCGUCUGUGGAAGCUGGCGGUGGAGCAGGAAGGCGAGGAGGAUGCCAGGAUCAUGUUGAGUCGAGCCGUGGAGUGCUGCCCAACCAGUGUCGAGCUAUGGCUGGCAUUGGCAAGACUGGAGACGUAUGAGAACGCCCGAAAGGUGUUAAACAAGGCUCGCGAGAACAUCCCGACAGACCGGCAGAUCUGGGUUACAGCUGCCAAGCUUGAAGAAGCCCAUGGGAACGACCACAUGGUGGAGAAGAUUGUGGAGAGAGCUCUCAACUCACUUCGCUCCAACAUGGUGGAGAUCAACAGGGAGCACUGGCUGAAGGAUGCGGAGGACUGCGAGAAGAGCGGCAGCAUCAACACCUGCCAGGCCAUCGUGCGGGCUGUGAUUAGUGUUGGUAUUGAGGAGGAAGACCGGAAGCACACCUGGAUGGAGGAUGCAGAUGCCUGUGCAGCUCAUGGAGCCUACGAGUGUGCCCGAGCCAUCUACGCCUAUGCCCUGACAGUGUUCCCCAGCAAGAAGAGCAUCUGGCUGAGUGCUGCGUACUUCGAGAAGAACCAUGGAACCAGGGAGUCGCUGGAGGCACUGCUACAGAGAGCUGUGGCCCACUGCCCUAAAGCUGAAGUGCUUUGGCUCAUGGGAGCCAAAUCCAAGUGGAUGGCGAAUGAUGUCCCAGCAGCCCGAAGCAUCCUGGCCCUGGCUUUCCAGGCCAACCCCAACAGCGAGGAGAUCUGGCUCGCUGCCGUCAAGCUGGAGAGUGAGAACAAUGAGUAUGAGAGAGCUCGAAGACUGCUGCAAAAAGCCCGAGCUAGUGCACCCACUGCUAGGGUGUUCAUGAAGUCUGUGAAGCUGGAGUGGUGUCUGGGGGAGAUCGAGAACGCCAAGCGCCUGCUGGACGAGGCUGUGAAACACUACGCCGACUUUGCUAAGCUGAAGAAAUGUCCACAUUCCAUCCCACUGUGGUUGUUGCUGUCUCGGCUGGAGGAGAAGACAGGGCAGCUGACGAGGGCACGGUCCAUCCUGGAGAAAGCCCGGCUGAAGAACCCCAAGUGCCCGGACCUCUGGUUGGAGGCUGUGCGUGUGGAGAUCAGAGGCGGACUGAAGAACAUUGGACAGACCCUGAUGGCAAAAGCCCUACAGGAGUGUCCCAACUCAGGUAUCCUAUGGGCAGAUGCUAUCUUCAUGGAGCCGAGGCCCCAGAGGAAGACAAAGUCUGUGGAUGCACUCCGCAAGUGUGAACACGACCCCCAUGUUCUUCUAGCUGGAGGGCUUCCAGGUCAAAGCUGUUCUGGACUGAACGAAAAAUUGGCAAGUCACGUGAUUGGUUUAAUCGUACAGUAAAGAUUGACCCUGACCUUGGUGAUGCUUGGGCAUACUUCUUCAAGUUUGAACUGAUGCAUGGAGAUGAGCAAAGCCAGGAGGAGGUGGCGAGACGCUGCAUCCAGUCCGAGCCCCACCAUGGGGAGAAGUGGUGUCAGGUGUCCAAGGACAUCAGCAACUGGAGGCUCAAGACAGAAGACUUACUUCCCCUUGUUGCUAAU